GCGCCAGUGGUGUAAUGGCUAUCAUUACUGCCUUCCAAGCAGUAGACCCGCGUUCGAUUCGCGGCUGGCGCA